AACUCAUGAUGAGGAAACCUUCUUAGAAGAUCCUUAAAUCUCUUCCAUGCAUCAUAUAGUGUCUCUAGCUUAGAUUAAGAAGAAGAAGAGAUGUCAUUCCUCAACUU
rfam:Gossypium raimondii Chr03_contig_245, whole genome shotgun sequence.